CUGGCAGGCUAUAGGAGUCUGUCGACUUGCGAAGAGUCAGAGACGACUGAGCGACUGAGCGUGACGAUGGAGGAAAGACUGGGAGAAGAGGCGUGGUAAAGCGGGGAAAGAAAGGGACAGAGGGGCAGAGAAGGAAGAAUAAGAAUGGGACAAAGGAAGAGGAUGGAGGGGAAAUUUGGGUGGCCCCAGACGGAGAAGAGAGUAAGAGGAAAUGAGAUGGAAUCAGGGAGGGGCAUAGUGCCUUCCUGUCUCCUGUUCUCUGGAGGCGGCACUGUUGGCUCCAUAGCUGGUGGCUUCCAGCCACAGCCGAGUCUGGGUCUGUGUCUGCAUCUGCAGGCGGCAGUUGGCAGCAGAUACACCAGUGAUACCUGCAUCAACUCUGGACCCCCGGUCAGUUGUCUUCCUUAAUGAAGUCUUCAUUCUUCUGAAGUUACUGAAAAGUGGAACUGCUGGAUGAGGAUGAAAGUUCAAGAUUCUCCAAUUUGAAACCUUCCAUGGAAUUUCAAUGUUCUUAUUAAUCCAUUAACCAAGUACUUCUUUUACAAGUUCAGCAAAAGCUCGAAAUCGAGAUCAAGUAUGCACAGUUCUUGCAUUUCAAGCUCUUAUGAUUAAGGAAAACUGUACAGAGGGAAAUCAUGGAUCACGCGGAGCUGCAACACUGAGUAACAGGAUAUGGUGUCAUUGACAUCUGAUGAGUUCUGAGAACUUCUGAAGUAAAGAACCCCUGGAAAACUUCAGAUUAAACAAACAAGCACAACAAACAAGCAGAUAUCUAAUGGAGUCUGUGCAGGAGGAGCCCUGAGCACAUUGCUGCGUCACAUGGUUGUCACCAAGGAGCCAGAGACUGAAUAUUCCUGGGAAACAACGCUAAGUGGUCAGAGUCUAAGAGAAAAACAAGGGGAUGAAAAUGUCCUUGGAGGCCUAUUGCUGUAUGCAUGCAUGUACACACGACGCAGAUGGACACACGUGAUCAUACUUUGAUACUUCCCAAAGGGCGAGAUGGAGGAAGCUUGGAGCUCGCUUCUGAUGCAAUACUGUCAACUGUCUGAAAGCUUGUGACCCUGAGUGUUAAUGUGUGCACACAAUAACAUCCAACUUAGGUCUUUGGUGAAGACUCACUUCGAGUGCUCCCAGGACUAUAUCAGAACCAAGUAAUAGACUAUUCCUCUCCCUGCUCUUCAAGUGGCCCCCUGGAAAGACCUCUCCAGGUAUGGGGGAGGGAGGCAUGGGGAGCAGCAGUCCCCUGCAGUGAAGCCAAAGGUUCAUAAAGAGCGCACAAACUGCCCUCCUCUCUGGGAUUACAGCUAAGCUGUCUCUCUGCUAUAUUCAAGGUUUUUGCUGCAUCUUUUCUGCCAUCUACUAACAGACUAGGCAAAUCAAUUAACUUCUAUGUGAAUCAGUUUCCCCACUUAUAAAAUAAAUACAAUUCUACCCAUUUCAUAAGGUUUUUAAGGGGAUGGAAUGAGC
ensembl:lncRNA